GUCGUGGUGGCCGAGUGGUUAAGGCGUUGGACUCGAAAUCCAAUGGGGUCUCCCCGCACAGGUUCGAAUCCUGUUCACGACG
rnacentral:tRNA from 2 species